rnacentral:rRNA from 1 species
UAAAAGUUAAUUAAGGGCGUAUGGUGAAUGCCUUGGCUCUCUUAGGCUAUGAAGGACGCGACAAGCUGCGAUAAGUUUCGAUUAGGUGCAAAUAACCUAUAAAUCGGAAAUUUCCGAAUGGGGUAACCCGAUUAAUUGAAGAUUAAUCAUCCAUUUUUGGAAGCCAACCUAGUGAACUGAAACAUCUAAGUAACUAGUGGAAAAGAAAACAAAUAGUGAUUCCCAAAGUAGUGGCGAACGAAAUGGGACUAGUCCAAACCAAAAUUGUUUAGGCAAUUUUGGGGUUGUAGGACUGUAAUAUGGAAUGUAAAUUUAUAAUAGAAUACUUUUGGAAAAAAGUAACCAAAGAAGGUGAAAGUCCUGUACAUGAAAUAAAUCUACUACCUAACAGUAUCCUGAGUAGGGCGGGACACGUGAAAUCCUGUCUGAAUCCACCGGGACCAUCCGGUAAGACUAAAAACUCAAGAGAGACCGAUAGUGAACAAGUACCGUGAGGGAA